rnacentral:lncRNA from 1 species
CUCGCUCUGCAGCUCCUUCACAAGCUCCUGGAAAUGGGAAAGCGCCCCGGGGCUGAAUGAAGCUCUUUGACGUCACGAGUGCCCAUUAAGGGUUUAUGGGCCGAGAAGCGGAGCAAAGGGUGCCUCGAGGAGGGCUGGCAGCAGCCCCGUGUUCCGGUGUCUCCUCCUGUCCCGCUGCUGCGGGUGUCCCACGGUGCACGCAGGACGUGGGAGGUGCCCGGGGCCGCCUCUCUGCAGAACCUUAAAGCCCGGCGCGGCGCCGGGCGGGCAGGGUGCUGGCAGCAUGCAGGCGGGUGGUUGGCUCCUGCUGGGGCUGCUGGCCCUCGGUGCACCGCUGCACGCAGCGCCCGCUGCAGGACGGUGUAGCCCAGGGCUGCACGGAGCAGCAACCAUCCUCCCUGUGACCCAACCGCAGGCGGUGGUGCCAGCAGAUGCCCGGUGCCGGCAGCGGAACGGCACCCAGAGCCCAUCUGUGCAGCAGCAGCUGGGGGCAGAGCGGGGCGGUGCGGAGCAGCACCUGCAUGGGGAGCGGCCGGCGGUGAGACCUGUGCCCGAGAAUGGAGCGGGGAGCAGGGAGAAGCCUCCAGCGGGCAGCACGCCUGCACUGAGGGAAAAGCAGGAGAUCGCAAAGAAACCCAGCGUGGGGAAGAAGCCAGAGUGUGAGGGGAAGGAUGGGAAUGGGGAAAAGCCAAAGAUAACGCCAGGAGCAAUGGCAAAACCAGAGGGUGGGGGGAAAGUGGAGAGUGGAGGGAAAACUGAGAGUGGGAAAAAGCCAGGGACUGGGGGGAAGCCAACGGGUGGAGAGAAACCCGUGCUGGGGAAAAAGCCAGAGAAGCUCAAGUUGGGAGAGAAACUAAAGCCCGAGCAUGGAGAUGGUGAGGUGGGUGAUGACAUUGAUGACGAUGAUGACGAUGACAGUGAUGACGAUGGUGAUGAGAAAAAAGGGUAUGAGGAUGAUAUGGCUGAUGACCAUGAUUAUUACUAUGGCUACAAUGACGACGAGGGCUAUGAUGAUGACGAUAAUGGUGACGGUAACAAUGGCAGUGAUGACAACGGUGGAAAUGGGAAUGACUAUGGAGAUGCCGAUGGAUACGGUGACGGUGAUGACUGAAGAUUACAGUGGUGGAGAUGGCAGCGAUGCUGGCGCGAUGAUGCUUGGUGACCAGCACUGUGGGGCGUGUGCAGGGCACAAGGUGCAAUGACAGCCCAUGGCAGGUGGGCACACGGAGCUGCCCCCAGCCUCCCCUCGCCUCACUCUGCCAGGGCCAGUCCUGGACACCAGCGCUGUUUUGGGCAGGACCUUCUAUUUCCUAAUAAAUCCCACAGUGGGCCACUUGCUCAACACAACAAGCUGUCCCUUGUCAC